UACGGAGGGUGCAAACGUUGCUCGGAGUCAUUGGGCGUAAAGCGCACGUAGGCGGCCCAGCAAGUCGGGUGUGAAAGCCCUCGGCUUAACCGAGGAAGUGCAUUCGAAACUACUGAGCUUGAAUACUGGAGAGGAUCGCGGAAUUCCCGGUGUAGAGGUGAAAUUCGUAGAUAUCGGGAGGAACACCAGUGGCGAAGGCGGCGAUCUGGACAGAUAUUGACGCUGAGGUGCGAAAGCGUGGGGAGCAAACAGG
rnacentral:rRNA from 1 species